GUGCUUGCGACGGCUGCACAUAUACUAAAAUUGGAUCGAUACAGAGAAGAUUAGCAUGGCCCCUGCGAAAGGAUGACAUGCAAAUCCUUGAAGUGUUACAUAUUUUG
ensembl:snRNA U6 U6 spliceosomal RNA